rnacentral:rRNA from 1 species
GAUGAACGCUGGCGGCGUGCCUAAUACAUGCAAGUCGAGCGAACAGACGAGGAGCUUGCUCCUCUGACGUUAGCGGCGGACGGGUGAGUAACACGUGGAUAACCUACCUAUAAGACUGGGAUAACUUCGGGAAACCGGAGCUAAUACCGGAUAAUAUAUUGAACCGCAUUGUUCAAUAGUGAAAGACGGUUUUGCUGUCACUUAUAGAUUGAUCCGCGCCGCAUUAGCUAGUUGGUAAGGUAACGGCUUACCAAGGCAACGAUUCGUAGCCGACCUGAGAGGGUCGUUGCACACACGGGCAGAGAGGCACAGCCCAGACACCGAGGGGGAGCCACAGUCGGGAAUCUUACGCGAGGGAGGAAUGCUUGACGGAGCAACACGGCGGAAAGCAUGAAGGUCUUAGGAUCGGAAAGCGCUGUUAGUAGGGAAGAACUAAUGUGUAAUUAACUAGGCACGUAAUGACAGUACCUAGACAAAAAGCCACGGCUAACUACGUG